GGGGGCCGACGUGGUAGCCUGA
rnacentral:siRNA from 1 species